AAGGUAAACAACAAUUGAGAAUAGAAAAUAUUAGUCUUUAACCAUUAUUAUUAAUUUAAUUAUUACAUGUGAUCUGAUAUUUAUCACAUACAAAAUAAGUUCUUUCAAAUUUAAUUAGAUCUUCAGAAUUUUACUGAUUCACGUCACUGGUUGGAGGGAUGCAACAUGGGAGCUUAGGACAGUGAAUUGGUUGACAUUCUAAUGAUUUAUCUGUUGGGCAACAAGGUGGGAGACCAUGUACAUUACCAACUAUAGCAGCUGCAACAACAACAAAUAACAUAACAAACUUCAUGAACAUCUUCAACACAGUUUCCAUGAUAAACAACUUGGUUUUGGUAAUGAAAAGAAUAGUGAUAUUUU
rnacentral:lncRNA from 1 species